CCCAGCGCUGAAUCUUUCGAUGUUACAUCGUAAGAAAUGUAGCGUAUAGGUGUAGUUAUCGGUUUGUUUGGCGUAUCCAAAGUUCCUUUGAUAGGGGCCAUAUUCCAGAGAGGGUGCGAGACCUGUGCGGAUAGCGGAACAUGCCGUAUGAUUAUACCUUGGAGUCGGGUUGCUUGAAAGUGCAGCCUUAAGUGGGUGAUAAACUUCAUCUAAGGCUAAAUACGGACGCGAAUUCGAUAGCAAACAAGUACUGUGAAGGAAAGUUGCAAAGAACUUUGAAGAGAGAGUUCAAGAGAACGUGAAAUCGUUGAAGUGGAACCGGAGAGAGUUGACGUAGUAUGGUGGAUAAGUAUUGCAAGAAUCGCUUCAAAAAAUGUGAACGUGAUCGAGCAGUAUGUAUGUCACCAAUGACUGCGCUGACAGCAUCGACUACACGCUCUGAACCGUGUUGACGUGUUGCCUACUCUAGUAUAUAGAGUGGUGUCUUGUGUUACGUGGUGAAGUUUGUUGUUAUGUUGAUGUUGAUACGAGGAGCAUAAUUAUACGACGAGUAUUAAUUAUGUGUGUCAGUGUAAAAGUCGACCACCUCUCCGACCCGUCUUGAAACACGGACCGAGGAGUGUAACUUGUACGCGAGUCAAUGGGUGAAAAACCUUAAGGCGAAAUGAAAGUGAAGGCACGGUUAACCGGCUGACAUGGGAAACGUCCGGCGGCUUGUGUUGACGAGACGUUACACCAUGGCCCUGUCUUGUCUGCAUGCAGAUGGGCAGCGGUAGAGCGUACAGGUUGCGACCCGAAAGAUGGUGAACUAUGCCUGAGCAGGACGAAGCCAGAGGAAACUCUGGUGGAAGUCCGUAUCGGUUCUGACGUGCAAAUCGAUCGAUAGACUUGGUAUAGGGG
rnacentral:rRNA from 1 species